AACGAACGCUGGCGGCAGGCUUAACACAUGCAAGUCGAACGCCCCGCAAGGGGAGUGGCGCACGGGUGAGUAACGCGUGGGAAUAUGCCCUUCGGUUCGGAAUAACACAGGGAAACUUGUGCUAAUACCGGAUACGAUCUACGGAUGAAAGAUUCAUCGCCGAGGGAGUAGCCCGCGUCAGAUUAGCUAGUUGGUGAGGUAAUGGCUCACCAAGGCGACGAUCUGUAGCUGGUCUGAGAGGAUGAUCAGC
rnacentral:rRNA from 1 species